rnacentral:rRNA from 1 species
GGGGGGGGCAAGCGUUUGUUUCGGAAUUACUGGGCGUAAAGGGCGCGCAGGCGGCCCGGCCAGUCCUACGUGAAAUCCCACAGCUCAACUGUGGAACUGCGUGGGAUACUGCCAGGCUUGAGUCCGGGAGAGGAGAGUGGAAUUCCCAGUGUAGCGGUGAAAUGCGUAGAUAUUGGGAGGAACACCGGUGGCGAAGGCGGCUCUCUGGACCGGCACUGACGCUGAGGCGCGAAAGCUAGGGGAGCAAACGGGAUUAGAUACCCCGGUAGUCCUAGCCCUAAACGAUGAGCACUUUGUGUGGCGGGUAUCGACCCCCUGCCGUGCAGAAGCUAACGCAUUAAGUGCUCCGCCUGGGGAGUACGGUCGCAAGGCUG